rnacentral:tRNA from 1 species
GGAUCCGUAGCGCAGUGGUCGUCGUGCCACCCUGCAAAGGUGGAAGACGCCGGUUCGAAUCCGGCCGGAUCCC